GAUGAACGCUGGCGGCGUGCCUAAUACAUGCAAGUCGAGCGAACAGACGAGGAGCUUGCUCCUCUGGCGUUAGCGGCGGACGGGUGGGUAACACGUGGAUAACCUACCUAUAAGACUGGGAUAACUUCGGGAAACCGGAGCUAAUACCGGAUAAUAUAUUGAACCGCAUGGUUCAAUAGUGAAAGACGGUUUUGCUGUCACUUAUAGAUGGAUCCGCGCCGCAUUAGCUAGUUGGUAAGGUAACGGCUUACCAAGGCGACGAUGCGUAGCCGACUUGAGAGGGUGAUCGGCCACACUGGAACUGAGACACGGUCCAGACUCCUACGGGAGGCAGCAGUAGGGAAUCUUCCGCAAUGGGCGAAAGCCUGACGGAGCAACGCCGCGUGAGUGAUGAAGGUCUUCGGAUCGUAAAACUCUGUUAUUAGGGAAGAACAAAUGUGUAAGUAACUAUGCACGUCUUGACGGUACCUAAUCAGAAAGCCACGGCUAACUACGUG
rnacentral:rRNA from 1 species